ensembl:lncRNA
CCAUCCUUCUCUGGCUGUCUGACCUUGGCUCUUCCGCCCCAUCGCCAUAGAGCCUUGGGGGAAGUUCUACUGGAGUUUCUCCGCCCCUUGCUGGGGCAGCUCCAGGGAUAAGAUCUUGUUUCAAAGGAUGACAUAGAAGUAGACAAAAGAUUUAUUUUUUCCAAAGCAACACGUUCACUUGUAAGGCCUGGCCGAGUCCCGUCCCCAGACACAUUCUCAUUGGUGGAGAGCUUGCGCCGCUCGGACGUGAUAGGCUAGCGGGCUGAGUACCAACCAAUCACGAGAGUGUUCUUAUUCACGUCCCUUCAUCAGAUGCCUGAGAUGGCUCCAGGUAAAUGCUAGCUGAGGGGCUGUGGCUGUGGCUCCAUGGCAGGGUUGUGUGAGACCCUGGGUUCCAUCCCCAGCACCAAACAAACAAAAACCCUACAGCUGUUUCCAGAGUGACUAUACAUGCUGAGGACACUGAGCUGAGGAGAACACUCAUCCUUGCCAUAGUUGGAAAUAACACCAUCGCAGCUACUUCUAUUGCUAAGAAGAGCAAUCAUCAUCUAUUUCGCUCUUGUUCUCUGCCAGUCCAAAUGAAGCCAGACCUUCUGAUCGUGCCCAGCAGAUACAAGAGUCUCAGAUGAGGAUGCUGUUGGAAUUUGCCGAAUGCCUCAGAAAGGUCAGCCUCCUGCUCAUCCAUCCAGGACGACAAAAGACAAGGAGGAGGGAGACUGUCUCCCUUCAGCAGCCCAUAGCACUUCGGUGGACCUGCAUCUGCUGAUAGCCUCCAGAGACAAAAACCUCUGAGGAUGACUGAUGCUGGGACUUCCCAGGCAAUGCCAGAAGACACAGACUAAAGAUCCAGGCUCCCUUCAGACCCACCUCCAUCCUUUCCUCCUGGGAAUAACUAUGUCGAGCGGUUUCCAUAAUGCAGGCAUCUCAGACUUCUCAGCAUCUGCUCAAUGCAGGCUCCUUUAGAACCCCAGAAGAACCAUCAUCCAAUAACCAGCAAAUAUCCCUGGCCUCCCAGAAUGCAGUGUUGCCAGUGACCCUGGUGGUAAUGACCCUCAGAGGAAAAUCUGAGCAAGCACAGGGCCAGCUGGGGAAAACUCCCCACCCCAGGAGGUGUAGCCCUGAGACUUCAAAGGGCACACUGCCUGCCUCUUUGGCCUAGCAGCAAUUAGAAUUCUUCCUCCGCAUCAAGUGCACAGAGAUGAGACAGGUGGAGAUGCACUGAAGAUCUGUCUUCAGCCAGCACCCCAGCUUUCACUAUGGUGACUCUCAGGACACAACAUGACACUUGGCCUCCAUUCCACGCUUGGGUCCCCAGUGGAGGAUGAAUUCAUAUCCACAGCAGCACAAAGCCUGAGCUCCAGCCAGUCUCCAAGUUGGAGUCUGUCCUUCGGUGUCAUUGAUUUGGGUCCUGCUUGGCAUGGGG